AGGUCUUCGGAUGCUGACGAGUGGCGAACGGGUGCAGUAUACAUCGGAACGUGCCCAAUCGUGGGGGAUAGCUCGGCGAAAGCCGGAUUAAUACCGCAUACGAUCUACGGAUGAAAGCAGGGGACUCGCAAGAGCCUUGCGCGAAUGGAGCGGCCGAUGGCAGAUUAGGUAGUUGGUGGGGUAAAGGCUCACCAAGCCGACGAUCUGUAGCUGGUCUGAGAGGACGACCAGCCACACUGGGACUGAGACACGGCCCAGACUCCUACGGGAGGCAGCAGUGGGGAAUUUUGGACAAUGGGCGAAAGCCUGAUCCAGCAAUGCCGCGUGCAGGAUGAAGGCCUUCGGGUUGUAAACUGCUUUUGUACGGAACGAAAAGGCUCUGGUUAAUACCUGGGGCUCAUGACGGUACCGUAAGAAUAAGCACCGGCUAACUACGUGCCAGCAGCCGCGGUAAUACGUAGGGUGCGAGCGUUAAUCGGAAUUACUGGGCGUAAAGCGUGCGCAGGCGGUGAUGUAAGACAGUUGUGAAAUCCCCGGGCUCAACCUGGGAACUGCAUCUGUGACUGCAUCGCUGGAGUGCGGCAGAG
rnacentral:rRNA from 1 species